CUCCUGCAUUUCUCCCGUCUCUCACCUGCAUCACAUUCACACCCUAUAUGUGAAUCGAAAAGCUAAACGAUAAAAAUAAUGUAGUUAUGUAGUUACACGUAGGUACAGUAGCGGCCCUGAGCACAAGCGGGGGAAGCACAUGCUUGCGGCCUUGCGAAUAAUAUACAAAAUAUCGGCUUUUUUGUUCAACGAAUCUUCGGUAGUGUAGUUGGUUUAUUGGCAGAUUUGUUAUGUCAUAGGUGCAAGGUUCGAAUAGCACCGGCCUCAUUUUCUUCUAUUUAUUUUUCUCUCUUUAAAAGUUACUUAGUAACAGGCCCCAAAAAAUAUUUACUGCUUCCAGCCUACAAAAUUACCGGGCCGGGCCUGCGUAGGUUCGGAAGUGGUCGACUUCCCUUGUAAAGCACGUGUUCAUUACCUAUAGUCCCUUUUUCCCAAAUUGAAACUGUAACCCUACUUUUUCUCUAUUUUCUUCUUCCUCCGAUC
rnacentral:lncRNA from 1 species